ensembl:lncRNA
CAGUCAGAGCCCUGAUGCUGACCCCAGAGCUGCUGUGCGCCUGCUCCUCGGUGUAGAGGGUGAAGUUGUACCACCUGGCGGGGUCCAGACCUUCAACAGUGUAGCUCAUGAUCCCAGCAGGACCUCCUAUUAUGGUCCUACUGUUCUCCUCAAACCGCAGGGUGUAGUUGAAGCUGUUGAGGGAGGGGUUCACACCUCCCUCAACAGCUGGCACACUCCAAUUCAGGGUGAUGCUCGACUCCGUUUGGUUCACGGCUGUGAAUUGCUCUGCAUUUGGAAUAACUGAGAGAGAACCAGGCAGUCAAUAAAGACAGUCAGUCAACAUUAGUUACAGUCAGUCUACCAAAGUGAGUCAGUCAAUAGUGGUUAUCACAGGCUAUAUUAAAUAAAGUAAAUCCUAAAUAUUAGAUCUACUUGGAGCUGGAGUUGUUGGUGUGUUUGUCGUGGACACCGGCGUUGUUUCCGUGGUUUCAGACGUUGCGGUCCUUGGCUCCCCAGUGGCCACAGAUCUGGGGCCUAAUACAUCCUGCGUCAGUACAGAUGGUGACGUCUCCGUGGAGACAGGCGUUGGGGAAGUAGGUGUUGUUGUCAUGGAAACCGAUUGUGUAGAUGCGGUAGAGGGAGUCUGGGUUCCUGUGGUGACCGAUGCCGUUUGAGGUGUUGUUCCCACGUACGAAGAGGGUUCGGACACAGAGGGUGUAUGUGUUGUCACGGAGACUGGCGGUAGAGCGGUCGUAGGCGUUGCCAUGGACACUGACGAUGUAGGGGCUGCACGGUCGCCACUCGCUGGCAGGGAAGUGGAUGUGGGGGUUGUGGUGAGACCAUGACCC